UCAACAUUACCUUUAAUUUUUGCCCAAAAUUAAGUAGCUGAAGUGAAAUCUUUCAAUUUGGCUUAUUUGUAUUCAUUUUUUUGCAUACUAAUUUAACUUUUAUGGGGAAGUUCAGAAGUUAUAAUACUCCACUGAGUUGAUAAACUGCCUCUCCACUUCUGCUGUCAUUUUGAAUUUAAAUGCAUGAAUUAGCAAGCAAACUGAUCGCGAUAAUUUCACGUUAGCCGUAAUUAUUUACACUGAAUUGGUCGCUCACUGCGGUAGUUAAUGCGAAUAGCUUAAUUGGGAUUGGAGGCAGUUGCGGUCACAAGUGACAAUUGCAGUCACGUUAAAAGCAGACUCGCCAAUUUCCUCGUGGUAACUGUUAACUUCUCGCGGAAUUGGACCUUGGCCAGCUUGAGGUUGCUUAGCCUUUAGCUUGCACACGUAGUCGCCGUUUCGUCAGCACUGACUCAUGAGAACGUCCGGCCGUGUUUGAGCACAGAUGUCCAAAAGCUGCCGAGCUAGCUCCACAUCCACGGAUUGGCCUUGGCCGCAGCUUCGGCGGCGGAUCUGAUCGCUGCACUCUGGGUGACACACUUUCUUGUCAUCAAGCUCUGACCUUUGGGAGCGGCUUUCUCAAGAGUUUCACGUUUUAUGGUCAGUCGUCUUAACACGCAAUGAUGAAAACAGCGCUUUUUCGCAACUUCUUCCAUCUGUUUGAAGAACCCCUGGAGAUGGCAAUUACUGCUCCGUAUUAACUAUAAAAUGCACACACCACUGUAUCACGAUGAAAUGCACCCGACGUACGUGCCGUCCGUAACAUUCCCAGCAGGGAAAUGAAGCAAAGGACUCCUGGACGAAAAGGUCGAGAAACGGCGAGAGUUUGCUCAUGCGGUGACUUAUCACGGUGGACAAACACGGCACAGCAGCACCUGUGUUGGAACAACUGCAUUUCAGUUGUUUUCAUUGAUUUUAAUUGCAUAUACAUUGAAACCAGAAUCUUGGCUUGAAACCCUAACCCUGUCUUUAAAUUAACUUGAACCCCUAAUGCUUUUUUUUUCUUCCUGACUUUCAAUCCUUACAUGAAACCCUUAUGCAGGUUUGAAUCCUUUACCCUGGCUUGAAACCUUACCUCUGUCCCUGACUUCAAACCAUCAUUUGAAACCCUAAUCCUGGCUUUGAAACUCAAAUAUUUGCUUGAAACCCAAACCCAGCUUUGAAACGAUAAUUUGAAACCCCAAGCCCAUCCCUGACUUUGAACCCUAACCUUGAAACCCAAACCCUGUCCCUAACUAUUAACCCAAUUUCAAAACCCUAAUCCUGUCUUGAAAUUGCAGCUUUUCCCCUAACUUUAAACCCUAAUUUGAAACCCAACUUCUAAACCCGGACACAGUUUGUCUGUUUUAGCCCACAGUGAAAGUGUGUGUGUGAGAUCAGAGACACGCGGUUCACCGCUAACGAGGCUUGUUUACGGGCCACUCUUGACUCCCACUCGCUCUUCACUCACACUCCCGAUCCCACGUCAUCGCCAUUGCACUUUGCGCAACUUGCCAAUGUGGAAUAGUUUGGCUGGAGCACGACUUUUCACGUUGAACCACCAGUAGCACGACAACCGCGUCCAUAUUUGGUAGCUUCACGUUCGAACAGACCUUUUGCGUCUUACUAUGAGGGAGUAGGGCCUUAAAAUGGUCAUCAAAAUUCAUGCUCUGCCCAUAUUAGACGGUGUAGCCCCCCAAAAUAAAAACGCAGCACUAGAGCGUCACCCAUCGUUUCUCAUUUUGGACGAAUUUCACACCAAAAUGGUCGACUUCGUGUGCGAGUCUUCGGAAAGUCAAAUCCUCUGAACCGUGAUGCCGUCUUUCCUCGUCCAUCGUUCGAAUACGUCAUUCCUUUCCAACAUGGGAGAGGACAGCGCGGUUUCCAAUGAAUUCGACUCCGCUUUUCCUUACCGACGUCGUCGCGAAACGGUCGGUCAGGAGUAACCUUUGCUCAAGGCGGCAUGACGCAUUUUGAGAAUUCAAACGACCUACCCUCCAAGUACUUCCGGGUCGUCUCACUCAGAUGGGAAGGAAAGUUCGGAAGCAAAAAUGAGAAUCAGAAGUGGCCCUGA